rnacentral:tRNA from 1 species
GGGAAUAUCUGGGUAACUGGUGUGCCCCCUGGUCUUCAAAACCAGUGUUGGUGGUUAAUAGCCGCCUGGGUGGGUUCGAUUCCCACAUAUUCCCGCCA